GGUCUUCAAAUGUUUGCGCCUAUGCCCUAUAUAAGCUUUGUCUGCUUCGGCGGACUAUGGCGAUAAAUGACGCGUGUAAUAAGCGAUUCGGACCCGGGGGCGGUACCCGGCGGCUCCACCAAAACCUUCCUCCUAACGACUGCAUGGAGGGCUUCGACGGGGCCGAAAUAGGAUCGACGGGCGUGUAAAGACGAUGUUUUCGCUCGGGUUGCCUCCGUUAUUUGGCUAAUUUUGAAUAGUUGCAAAUGACAACCAUUCGGAAGAGUUCGCUCUGGCUGCGUAAGCGGUUCGAGUAACUCGAAACUAAGUCCUAGCCCCUUCCAAGGUUAGGCGGGGCCCCCCGGCGCCUGGCAACAGAAGCCGGGACC
rnacentral:tmRNA from 1 species